CGCCCCAGUGAUUCAUGCAUUUGUCACCUCCAGCAUGAACCCCUGUAACUGGAGUGGAAUCUGAAACCUGUGAAUGGAUCCAGAAGGUAGCGAAAGAUCUUUCUAUGAAUAGUAUGUGUACUUAUACUGAAGUAUUUCCAUCAGCUUGAACAAUCUAUUUGCAGUGGAAGAAGUAAAGACACUAACUCUCCUAGAAAAGGUCUCUGAAAUGAAAUUCAGAUAUAUGAAGACUUACUUCAUCCAACACAAUGAAAUGUCACCCAGACUCUGAAGAGAAACCACUGGUGCGUUUUAGAGGGUGGCAGCAGUCUGGGAGCACCAUACAGCACUGUGGAGGAGUGCUAGAAACUGCGAGAGAAAUACCAUGUAAAAGCUUCUGCAAGAGCCUUGGAGGAUGAGCCACAUGGGAUGAGCAGGGACAUGUACCCCAGCAUUCCUUCAAGGGGCAUGGCAGCCCAAAGCAAGGAGAUUGCAUCAAGCAACUCUGGGAGGAUGUCUGAAUAGGAUUCAUCUGAGCUAAUGAUUUGUUCCAUGGGAAGGGUGGAAGAACUCCCACCUAUGGUGAACUGUGAGACAGCACUGGAAGAAUUUCAGCACUCAAAUGAGUCAAUUUGUGUCCUUGCUGCAAAUUAAGCAGUGAAAAUAGGAUCUAGCCUCUCCUCACAGACGUGCCACUACGCUCAGUCUUCAUGUGCAGAUCAGAGAGAAGUGGAAAGAGGUUCUGCAGAGGGGAUCAAGCUCAUUCUGCAACACAAACCCCAGUUCAGCUACACCCUGCAAGCACCACACACAUGCAUAUGACUGCACUGGUAGAAAAAGAGGAUCUGUGUCACAGCUCUUUGCAGGGCUUUACAUAACAGCUUCUCAGCACAUCUGAGAAUAGCUAGAAGGAAUUGUUGAGGGAAGUAAUGGCAUGGAGACAGCCUGAGCUGCUAUGCUUCACUGUAGUUAACAGGGCAAAGAGAGUUCUAAAGUAUAUUAUGUCUCUACUAUUUCAUAAUUCUCUGCGCUUUGACUAAAAGACACUAUAUGAGAUCCAAAAGUUUUACCACCAAUAAAUUAACCGAGUGUGGUUGUCGGUGGUUGUGAAACCAACAGUGUGGAACUUCUUCCGAAUGCAAUGUUAACGUGCACACAGAAACAGAGAGACACUUUUGAAGAUGCAGCUUGUUAAGUCUUUCUAAUAGUGCCACAGUUUGAAGUGGAGGUAAUUACAAAGAUGUUAAAAAGGGAUUUAUUUUUAAAAUGGCAGUCUGUAAUUGAUGCCUAGUGGAAAAGUCAGUGUGGAUAGAAUAAAACACACAGAGUACAUAAAGAAAAGAACAUAAGAAAGAAAGAGCUAUUAGAGAAUAAGAGAAAUAAAGGAAAGGACCCAAGGAAAGGAGGCAAAAAAGGCAACAAGAUGAAGAAAAGAAAGAUAUGUCAGUUCAGAACAGCAUGCCCAUUAAAGGAAAGGCAUUAAAAUCAUACAAGAAUAAUGUCAUGCAGACAGCAGUAAAUUACUUUUCAUUUGUGAUGGAGAUUACUGAAGUUGAUUUUUCAAUCUUGUCUGAUUUUUGAAUCACAAUAAAAAAAAUCAUCAUAGAAAGUUAGAGAUGAAAACCAGGCUAGUAUUUAUGGCAGACAAAAAACAUGCAUGAAAUAGCAAAUACUGUAAAAGCCCUUCAGAAAAUUCAGCCUGACUUCAACAGGAUCUCCUCACUUCCUAAUCAGCAUCACUACACUUUCCCAGACAACAUCCAAUUCCCUUGUCUGGCUGCCUUAUUUACCUCACCGUAAAGCCUCAACUCCUCAAUUUCUAAACAGUUUUCAUGUUACAUGGGCAGCAGUCCCUCAGGAUAGAUCAAACUGUGGAAGUCCUGGGCUAGAUGUGUCCUUAUCUGUAUUUCAAAGCAUUUGAAGAUACAAGUAUCAGUUGCGCUCUCAUCCCUCAUCAGUCUCAAUUGCACCUCAGUUUGUACUAGGCAGGAGAAUUACCACAUCACUUUCUCCAGCCAUAGGUCACCAGAGACAUGAAAAUGUUCUUAUAGACAGGGCAGAGUUGAGCAAGAAAUGUUACACGCCUCUGUAUGGAGGACUGAAUUUAAGCCAGUGCCA